rnacentral:rRNA from 1 species
AUACGGAGGAUCCGAGCGUUAUCCGGAUUUAUUGGGUUUAAAGGGUGCGUAGGUGGUUUAUUAAGUCAGCGGUGAAAGUUUGUGGCUCAACCAUAAAAUUGCCGUUGAAACUGGUUAACUUGAGUAUAUUUGAGGUAGGCGGAAUGCGUGGUGUAGCGGUGAAAUGCAUAGAUAUCACGCAGAACUCCAAUUGCGAAGGCAGCUUACUAAACUAUAACUGACACUGAAGCACGAAAGCGUGGGGAUCAAACAGGAUUAGAUACCCUGGUAGUCCACGCAGUAAACGAUGAUUACUAGGAGUUUGCGAUACACAGUAAGCUCUACAGCGAAAGCGUUAAGUAAUCCACCUGGGGAGUACGCCGGCAACGGUGAAACUCAAAUGAAUUGACGGGG